CACAGUAGCCCAAGCCAUAAUAGUGAGUGAGCUCAGAAAUUUCUUUAAAAUCUUGAAUUUGGAUUUCAAGAUGUGAGUGCAGAAAUCUUGCUGGGAAAACAAGUGAACGAAGCAGUUCUUAUUUAAUAGAAUAAGAAUACAAACAGAAAGGAUGUUGUCGAGAAUUUUGCUCUCAAGAUUGGGUCCAAAAACAAAGAUGAUCUUCCAAGUUGUAUUAAAAGAUCAACGUGCAUUUUAAACAAGUGGUGGUCGCUCCAAAAAAUUAGGUUAAAGAUAGAGAAAAUCAUAGAAAGAAUUAACGACUUGGUCCGAUGAUUACAGACCUCUCAUAUAAACGAAUUAAAGGAUGGAGAAAAAGGAUCAAGAUCUUCAACUGAAAAGAGAGAAUUAAGGUGCCCUUAUCCUCAUGUUAUGGAUGAUAAUAUUCUCGACCACUCUUGCUAAAAAAAUGUAUCAUCAUCAUCAGGUUAUUGAUAAUUUCGAUCACUCAGCUUUCAUA